CACAUUAUCUGGGCAGUGGAAAAAGCCUGCUCGCAUUCUGCCAGAGUAUAUUUAGCAUCCUAAAGAGAUGCGUGCUGUGUUUAAGGUUGAGAAGCCUUGUUUUAUGGUCCUAGUCAUCAGCUUUAUCAUAAUACAGCCUUGGGAGGCUUAUUUGGAUAAUCUCUCAACACUUACGUAUAUUUUGUAUUCUUAUUUCUUUUCUUUUUUUUUGACCAACCAUGUUACCAGGGUUUAGAAGCUGUGUCUGAGACUGUGCCCCUUUGAAGAUAUUAACAUCUUAAAGGGAUUUCCGAAGGGAUAAUGCGAGAAAACUAUUUAUGGGCUGCUGUAACGAACUACUGCGAAACAAGUGGCUUUGUCUCUGCCCUAAAUUCAGUAUGAUUUCAUCUUAAUAUCUUUAAUUACAUCUACAAAGACCGUAUUUCCCAAUAAGGUCACAUUCUGAGAUUGUGUGGACAUAAAUUUGAAGGAGACACUUCAACCCAGUAUAUUGGCUGAAAUUCUGCAAGAGACUAAACAGCAGCCAAGAGGCAAUAAAAAAUCUAAAUGGAUUAGUAUCCUCAAGUCAAGAAAGGAAGAAAUUUUGAGAUCCUGAAAGAAGAAAGGAGUGACAAUGUCUAUUGUUGUUAUGUGUUUCAUUAUAUAUGGAAUUAGAAAUCUGUGUGUGUUAAGAAAAGUGAGUUUUGUAAAUGUGGUGGUGAAAGUGAUAGUAGAGGAGGUUAAACAGUUAUGAGACCUGGAGAAGUCUGUGUAAAUCUCAACAUACAUAAGCAUUCUUGCUGUAUGUGUGCAUAUGUGUGUGUAUAUGUAAUAUAUAUGUAGGCCAAUCUUGAACACAUUUGGUACUCCGUCAAUUCAGUUGUGAUUCUAAAAGAAGCAUUUGUACUUUAAGGGCCUGUAAUUGAGGAGUUAAUAAGCUACUAAGAAUUUAAGUCAUCAGAUUUGAAUGCACUCAAAGCUCCUUUUCAAUUGAAGUUGAUUUGAUUUAUACUUAAUUUAUUGUAAAACCUUAUUGCAGUGUAUAUAAAAUAUGCUUCAGUGAAUUUUCAUAUCAAUCACUAUAAGCCAUCAGAGAGGGAUGUGUUCACACUAUUUUCAUUCAUCUGUUACUGAAAAAAAAAAAAAAAGAAAGGAGAUUCUAAAGUUAGCCCUGUGGAAUACCAAAUAAAUAGUAGAUUUAAGUAC
ensembl:lncRNA